UACGGGGGGAGCAAGCGUUAAUCGGAAUUACUGGGCGUAAAGCGUGCGCAGGCGGUUGUGCAAGUCUGAUGUGAAAGCCCCGGGCUCAACCUGGGAACGGCAUUGGAGACUGCACGGCUAGAGUGCGUCAGAGGGGGGUAGAAUUCCACGUGUAGCAGUGAAAUGCGUAGAGAUGUGGAGGAAUACCGAUGGCGAAGGCAGCCCCCUGGGAUGACACUGACGCUCAUGCACGAAAGCGUGGGGAGCAAACAGG
rnacentral:rRNA from 1 species